rnacentral:rRNA from 1 species
UACGUAGGGUGCGAGCGUUAAUCGGAAUUACUGGGCGUAAAGCGUGCGCAGGCGGUUCGUUAAGUCAGAUGUGAAAGCCCCGGGCUCAACCUGGGAACUGCAUUUGAAACUGGCGGGCUUGAGUGUGGCAGAGGGGGUGGAAUUCGCGUGUAGCAGUGAAAUGCGUAGAGAUGCGGAGGAACACCGAUGGCGAAGGCAGCCCCCUGGGCCAACACUGACGCUCAGGCACGAAAGCGUGGGAGCAAACAGG